rnacentral:rRNA from 1 species
GAUGAACGCUAGCGGCAGGCCUAAUACAUGCAAGUCGAACGGUCCACUUCGGUGGAUAGUGGCGCACGGGUGCGUAACACGUCUGCAAUCUACCUUACAUUGGGGGAUAGCCUUUCGAAAGGGAGAUUAAUACCGCAUAAGACAGUAACAUGGCUUCAUGUAGCUGUUAAAGUUUUAUAUAUGUAAGAUGGGCAUGCGUCCAAUUAGUUAGUUGGUGGGGUAAUGGCUCACCAAGACGAUGUUUGGUAGGGGAACUGAGAGGUCGAUCCCCCCACCGGGCACGGAGAUACGGGCCAGACUCCUACGGGAGGCAGCAGUAGGGAAUAUGGGGCAAUGGACGCAAGUCUGACCCAGCCAUGCCGCGUGCAGGAAGAAGGCGUUCUGCGUUGUAAACUGCUUUUAUAUAGGAAGAAACGACCCUUGCGAGGGGCAUUGACGGUAUUAUAUGAAUAAGCACCGGCUAACUCCGUGCCAGCAGCCGCAGUAAAAC